GACGAACCGUGCGAACGUUGUUCGGAAUCACUGGGCUUAAAGGGCGCGUAGGCGGGCUGCCAAGUCUGGGGUGAAAUCCCACGGCUCAACCGUGGAACUGCCCCGGAUACUGGCGGCCUCGAGGGAGAUAGGGGUGUGCGGAACUCACAGUGGAGCGGUGAAAUGCGUUGAUAUUGUGAGGAACGCCGGAGGCGAAAGCGGCGCACUGGAUCUCUUCUGACGCUGAGGCGCGAAAGCUAGGGGAGCAAACGGG
rnacentral:rRNA from 1 species